UCCGGUGUAGCUUAAGCAGGCAGAGCCGCCGACUGUUAAUCGGCAUGGUACUGGUUCGAGGCCAGUCACCGGAG
rnacentral:tRNA from 1 species